AGUGAACGCUGGCGGCAGGCCUAACACAUGCAAGUCGAACGGCAGCGCAGCAGUAGCAAUACUGUGGGCGGCGAGUGGCGGACGGGUGAGGAAUACAUCGGAAUCUACCUUGUCGUGGGGGAUAACGUAGGGAAACUUACGCUAAUACCGCAUACGAACUACGGUUGAAAGCGGCGGACUCGCAAGAGCGUCGCGCGAUUGGAUGAGCCGAUGUCCGAUUAGCUAGUUGGCGGGGUAAAGGCCCACCAAGGCGACGAUCGGUAGCUGGUCUGAGAGGAGGAUCAGCCACACUGGAACUGAGACACGGUCCAGACUCCUACGGGAGGCAGCAGUGGGGAAUAUUGGACAAUGGGCGCAAGCCUGAUCCAGCCAUGCCGCGUGUGUGAAGAAGGCCUUCGGGUUGUAAAGCACUUUUGUUGGGGAAGAAAAGCCACCGGUUAAUACCCGGGGGUUCUGACGGUACCCAAAGAAUAAGCACCGGCUAACUUCGUGCCAGCAGCCGCAGUAACAC
rnacentral:rRNA from 1 species